GAUGAACGCUGGCGGCGUGCUUAACACAUGCAAGUCGAACGGAAAGGCUCCUGCUUGCAGGGGUACUCGAGUGGCGAACGGGUGAGUAACACGUGGGUGAUCUGCCCUGCACUUCGGGAGAAGCCUGGGAAACUGGGUCUAAUACCGGAUAGGAUCACAUGUUGGAUGGUGUGGUGGAAAGUUUUGCGGUGUUGGAUGAGCUCGCGGCGUAUAAGCUUGUUGGUGGGGUAAUGGCCUACCAAGGCGUAGACGGGUAGCCGGCCUGAGAGGACGUAGGGCCACAUUGGACCUGUGAGGCAGGCCAGAGUCGGGAGGGAGGCAGCAGUGGGGAAUGUUGCACAAUGCGCGCAAGCCUGAUGCAGGAACGCCGCGUGGGGGAUGACGGCCUUUAGGUUGUAAGCUCCUUUCGCUAGGGACGAAGCGUUUUUGUGACGGUACCUGGAGAAGAAGCACCGGCUAACUACGUG
rnacentral:rRNA from 1 species